rnacentral:rRNA from 1 species
AUACGGAGGAUGCGAGCGUUAUCCGGAUUUAUUGGGUUUAAAGGGUGCGUAGGCGGAUGAUUAAGCGUGAGGUGAAAUGCCACUGCUCAACAGUGGAACUGCCUCGCGAACUGGUUGUCUUGAAUGCUCCUGCCGUGGGAGGAAUGUGUGGUGUAGCGGUGAAAUGCAUAGAGAUCACACAGAACACCGAUUGCGAAGGCAUCUCACGAAGGGGUGAUUGACGCUGAGGCACGAAAGCGUGGGGAUCAAACAGGAUUAGAUACCCUGGUAGUCCACGCAGUAAACGAUGAUAACUAACCGCUGGGUCGUAGUGAUUCAGUGGCCAAGCGAAAGCGAUAAGUUAUCCACCUGGGGAGUACGACCGCAAGGUUGAAACUCAAAUGAAUUGACGGGG